AGCGAACGGGUGAGUAUCGCGUGGGUAAUCUACCUAGAGGUGUGGGAUAGCCUCGGGAAACCGGGGGUAAUACCGCAUGAGUCCUCAACGGCAUAAGUCGAUGAGGGGAAAGGCGGGGCUCCUUCGGGACCUGUCGCCUCUAGAUGAGCCCGCGUCCGAUUAGCUUGUUGGCGGGGUAAUGGCCCACCAAGGCAACGAUCGGUAGCCGGCCUGAGAGGGUGAACGGCCACAUUGGGACUGAGACACGGCCCAGACUCCUACGGGAGGCAGCAGUGGGGAAUAUUGGGCAAUGGGGGAAACCCUGACCCAGCGACGCCGCGUGGAGGAUGACGGCCUUCGGGUUGUAAACUCCUGUCAGGUGGGAAGAAAGGCCAUUCGGCUAAUAUCUGAAUGGAAUUGACUGUGCCACCAAAGGAAGCCCCGGCUAACUCCGUGCCAGCAGCCGCGGUAAUACGGAGGGGGCAAGCGUUAUUCGGAUUUACUGGGCGUAAAGCGCACGUA
rnacentral:rRNA from 1 species